rnacentral:lncRNA from 1 species
AUAUGCUGGAACACACCUGCUGGCUUCCUUUGGGAGGACACGUGCGUGAACAGCACCGAGCUGAAAUUACUAGGACGUGAACCCAACUGAGGAUACUCCAGCAAUCUUUGGAUGACCAGAGUUUGGAGGCACUGCAGCCUUUCCUCUCCCUUGCUGUUGAGAACACGUUCUUUACACAAUGAGUGAAGAGAGAAGUGGAGUUGAGACUAUCCUGCAGGCAAUUCCUUUAUAUGAGGGUGUCUCCAAACCCGUUUGAUAAGAGAAAAAAAAAAAAAGAAAAGAGGCUGGAAAUGUUGCAAGGAAGAAUCUGCACAGAAAUUUUCAAUCAUUUUUUCCUAUUUGGUCCAAAAGUACUGUCUAAAAAGCCUGUCUUGUUAAGUAUAUUGGCAUUUCCCUCUGGCCUCUAGAGGGAUAAGUAGGAUAAGUAGAACCUUCAUAAAUUAUAUAGGUUUAAUUCCAGGGUCAAGCAAAAGACUAGGC